UGUGCACACAGUUUCUUCUGUGCUGUCCCGUCACGGUUAAACUAAGUAAUCCUAAUUUAUACCACAAUAUAUCUGCAGCACAGGUCCACAGAGGAGCCCUCACCCUAAACAAGAGCAGGUCUUCUCAUAAACGACACGUAUUGAGAAAUCUGAGUCUCCCUUUACGAUGUAAGAUGCAGGUUUGACGCCUGACAAAACAGGAUUGGGGAAGGGAAAGAAAGUGUAAAAUGACGUAUUUGAAAUUACACUUAAAGACUGGUGGUCACGUGUGUCUUUUGGUCAUGACGCACAGUUGGCAGAAAAGUGAGCUAAGUUCAAACAAAAAUCUUGCCGAGCUGCAAGCAAGAUAACUCGCCUUGUUAAAAAGAAAUGCUGUAAUUUUCGAGAAUGACAUGUGACCCAGCCUCUGAUCGCACAUCUGGAGAGGCCCAUUCAGAACGCUGCGCAGAUUAGGCAUUAACAGGAACGCCGCCCCCCCUCCUCCUGCCCUAAGUUCCUCUCUGGCGACCCUCACGCAGGUUAUUCAAAGAGUCUGAAACGUAGCAGGGCUCCGUCGCAGCUUUUGAACUUUAAAAAGACAACGUAGAAACGCAUCUGGAAACGGCAGCACCGACAGAUGUGACGUUGUGCUCUUUAAGAGGAAACGGCGUGACCUCUGACCCGUGGACUCGCCGUGAGUUUUUCUGCGCCUUUAGUGGCUGUAAUGAAAAAAAGCCACGGUCGUGUACGAGGUGCAGGAUGCUGGUUCUCUGUUACUCUCUGAAUGGGCCAUGUGACCUGAAGUUAAACUUGCCCACGCUUCUCUUGUAAGUGCCAUAAUUAUUGCAUUUUCCUGUGCCUUUUUGUGCGUAUUGGCGCGUAAAGACCGUGUUCUGAAAUAGUUUAACCAGCGGCUACAGGUCAUAAAGUUUCCCUUCUUUCCCCCAAAAUUCUUGUUUAAAUCCAACCUCUCUUCUCCCAUCCAUGUAGGCCGCAGACUGACUGUAUAGACGUUUAAAUCUCACCGUGCAUGUCUUGUCUUUCUGUCUUGCAGGAGAGAACGAUGACAACCAAAACAACGAGGGGUAAAAAAAAAAAAAGAAAAGAAAGAGGUGACUUGUGGCCGGAGUGGACGCUGCUGACGCCGCCGGAGCCUCCACCUGUGCGCCGGAGAGAAAAAGGUGACCCACGUUUUGGAUGUUUUGCACCGAGGAGCGACUGAGAGACACCGACCUUCCUGCCUCCCUCCCUCUCCCCCCGUCCUCCCAUGCUCUUCUUCAUCCCGAGAACAGGAGCAAAACGAUGUUCACAGAAGAAAGAAAAUGGAAACCACUGCAGCCAGCGAAGCAGAAGAAGGUAGAAAGGAACAAUGAGGGCCCAGAAGGGAGGGAGGAGGCAGCUGGAUGGGCAGCGAGUGAACUCAAAGCGGCCGACACCUUUGUUUCCAUUAGCACCACCCAAAAACCAUGAAAGUCAAGCCGGUUGGAGUGGGACACAUCCAUCCUCCACCCGCCUGCACUCAGAAGAGAGUCGUCUAACUCCAGGCUGGGAAGGAUAAAUAUGUAAACACUUGUGACAGCAGCAGACACCAUGGAAGGCAGCUCUCCACAUGCAGCACAAUCUCCUCAGCUGGAAUUAAAACACACAUAACAGAUCGCUGCUGCUGUGAGUCUGAUGUCGCCGUCGGGUGAAGCAGAACUGCAGCUGUUGGGCUGCGAGGAAACGACCGAGACGUGAAGGUGGACUCUCAAAACGUCCGAUGGGAGUGUGUGUGUGUGUGUGUGUGUGUGUGUGUGUGUGUGUGUGUGUGUGUGUGUGUGUGUGUGUGUGUGUGUGUGUGUGUGUGUGUGUGUGUGUGUGUGUGUGUGUGUGUGUGUGUAUGUGUGUAUGUGUCUAAUUUGAUGAUAUUAUAUCAUAUCUGUUAAAAAAAAUUAGAAAAUGUAAGCUACUUCUGUCUCUCCUAACACUGAUGUAAUGCUGCUGGCUGUUCUACAUGUUCUAUACUUGUUUUCAUGUGAACGUUGUUUGUAAAUUUCUGUUUUCAAAAUCUGAGUCCAUGUCAGAGUCUGUCAAUAUUUAUUGAGCUGGCUGAUGUUGGCUGUGCAGUGAUGCCAGGCUACAAACAAGUGCUAUAAAAUAGAUUAUAUAUUAUAUUAGUAAACUGCAUUUUACUCUACACUUUGUAACGUGACUCGGAGACAGCUGGUCGCUAAUACAUUUAAUUUCAUCCCUUUUAAAAGUGUUACACAACUUGCUGCUCCUUCUUCUCGGUGUCACGUUGACUUCGACCCUCCACUUCUGUCAAAGAAUGCGAGCAGCUGCAUGAUGCAUGUCAACAUGUGGACACAUUUUUAUACUCUUGUCCCUCUGCUGAGUACAUGACAGGCUUUGCUUCGUGCCACAGAGCCUCGGUUUGUCAGAAUUUCAUGUUUAGUUUGUGUGUGAGAGACAGACGGGGAGCAUGGCGGCAGAUGGGGUGUGCUGGAGACUAAAAAUGCUGUUGCAAAUAGCCUCUGUGGGUCGGAGAGGGGGAACAGAGAGCACAUACUGCUGAGGAGAGAAUCGUGACAGUCGGUUGUGGUGAAACAUCCGACGAAUGUGAGCAGGAUUUCGUCGUUCGUGUGCAUUUUAAUGUGAAGUUUAAUGAAAUAAAGCGAUGUAAAUUCA
ensembl:lncRNA